UUACGGCCAUAUCACAUUGAAUCACCGGUUCUCGUUCGAUCAACACAGUUAAGCAAUGUUUGAACUUGGUCAGUAUCUAGAUGAGUGGCCGCUCGAGAAUACCCGGUGCCAUA